GGAAAAUGAUAUUUUUAACUUCAGAUUUGCAUUGCACGUCAAAACUGAUUGCUUAGUCAUUACAGAACUCUAUUAUCAAAAUUCUGUGAAGGUAGUGAUUAUUUUUAUUUGGUUUUCUGUACCUGGGUCCAGCAGGGGGCCGAGGGGAAGCAGCGCCCACCCUUCUGCAGUCGCACAAGGCGGGAUGGAGAGCUGGGGUGCACAGAGGGUGUCUGUCAGAGGAGUGAUGCUGCUGUGGGCUGGGAGGAAAAGGAGAGUUCAGCGACGUCCUGAGGCUCAGAAUGGCAGUGAACUACCAUGAGGACAAGGAGUAAAAGGAAUAUAGCCCUACUGCAUGUGCUAUGUGUUGUUGAUGCACCAAGGACUCUAAUACAUUGAAACUGCAAAAGAUGACUGAGUGUUGUUGGUGUGCAUCCCUUGAACUGGAGGCAACUUUUCCUCAAGGUUUCUCUGGAAACUUGAGAAUGAGUUUCCCAAACUAGCUGAUUGCUAAAAUAGGGACAACCAGAGGGAAAACUACGUUUUCUCUGUCUGUAAAAUAUGUGCUAGGGAUGAGCUCAGGAGUUAUAAACCGAUGGGCUUUACUUCAGUACUUGGAACACUGGCUGAAAUACAGCUAUAGAGUUAUAAUGAGCAUGAUAUUAUAAGGACAAAACAGCACUGCUCCCAAAAGGAAAAUUCUCUUUCCUCCAGAAUGUCAGCAAAAUAACAGAUAACCAAGAAGUGAUAGAUAUAAUUUAUUUUGGGUUUUAAAAAGCUCAAGAGGCUAUUAAGGAAGCUCAGAGUAAUCACAGGGUAGGACAUAAUGGACUUUCAUGGACUAAAAACUGAUUAAGAGAGGGAAACAAAGAAUGAAAUAAGUACAUUUAGCAAGUUAAAAAUUGGACUGAAAACUUAAUUCUAUUUCAAUAUCUAUUGGAUUUUAUUUAUGGCAUUGGAUGAUAAAUUGUCAUAAAUACACCCAGGAUUCCAAUAAAUGGUCAGCAAAAAGUCUUUUCUGUCA
rnacentral:lncRNA from 1 species